CAAUGGCGACGGUAGAUGGUAGUCAGACAGACAGUAGUGGCGGCGGCGGCAGCAGUAGUAACAUGUAGUAACAGUAAUGGUGAUGACAACGGCGGUAGUGGCGGUGGUGGUGGCGGCGGUGGCGGUGGUUUUGUGCGAGUGUUUACCGCUCUUGUGGAGUGUGUCACGCAAUUAAAAUCCUUCUGCGAUUCUUGUAGUCGCGAUCUCUUUAUCGCGGGAAAAACAAUGUCGGGAUACCGCAAGGUAAACUAUUACGAAUUGUGUCGAUUGUGUACCAGUAGUGAAGGUAACAAGAUGAAUAUUUUUCGCGACGAAGGACGCAGACGACAAUUACAAACAAAAAUACAGACGUAUCUACCGAUACAAGUUAUGGAGGAGGAUUCAUUACCAAAAAUUGUAUGCCACGAAUGUGUCAAAAAGUUAGAAAAUUUCAUAGAGUUCCGAGAAACUGUUGUCAAUGCUGAGGGUAUGUUGGAGUCUUAUUUUACCUCACUUCGUUUUUCCGAGGAAUUUCUGAAAGAAGGAAAAGUUUAUGUAAAGAAUACUGAAAAAGAAAGACCGUCCACACCAGAGGAUGAAGUUUUAAAGUCCAUGGAUAAGGUGCCAACACCAGUGGGAGGCCAAAUAAUAAAUAAUCAACAAACAACAGAUCAAAUACAGCAUCAGCAACCUGUUGUAGUUAGCAAUAUAAAUACUUCUAAUAUACAAAUUAUCAGUGGUGUUCAAGCAAGGGUACAACAAUACAAAUGUGCUAUGCAGAUGCAACCAGGUGGUAUGGCAGCAGCUGUAGUCGAAGCUACAGCAGAGACUCAUUACAGUUACCAACAACAAACUUCUCAAGUAUCAUCGCAACAAUCAAAUGAAACGCAAAAUCAAAUCAGUGACCAGCAAAAUCAGUCUUCUGCAAUUCAGCAAACUCAGAACCAAAUACAGAAUCACAGUCAAAUAAAUCAGCCAAUGCAAUCCCAAAGAGCAAUUUCUCAACAGUUAAAUCAGUCAGCACAGUUAUCUCAACAGAAUCAAAACCAGAUUAGCCAACAGGUACAGGAACAGUCACCGAUUUCACAGCAGCUUCAACAAUUACAGAGGCAACAGCGUGAAUUUGAAAAGCAGCACACACAACUUCAACUUGAAAAACAACAGGUACAAAUUAUAACACAGCAAGAGUUUUCAGUGAAACAAGAGACACCAGUUCAUCAAAAUAAUAAUGUAAUUCUUAAAACUGAAACGGAUAUAGAACCAAAUCGACAAAUCAUGCAAAAGAUACAAUCCGAGACCCAAAAAGAUGAAUCUCCUAAUCCAAAUGUACAAACUUAUUCUACAAUACAAGCAACGCCAGAGGUAUUUCUAAAUUUGGGUUUCAAAGAAAGUUCAUUGAUGACAGUUCGAGAUGAAAAAGACUUUAAAGAAUUUGCAAAAACAUCAUCUGACGACGGGAUGUCUCGUAAUUCAAUCGAACAAAUCAGAGAAUUUCUGAGACUCAGAUCAGGAUCGGAGUCAUCUUCUUUAAUCACUGUGAAUCCUCAUGGUCUCUCACAAGCUGCGAGGAACGCUGUUUGUCGCGAUUGUGGUAAAAAUUUCCCUUCGUUCAACCAAAUGAGCAAUCAUAAUUGUAAUGUUGAGACACUUAUAAACGAACCACCAUCAGAUGUUGAAAAUAAGGACGAUCUUUUGCAAACUAAUGUUAAUUCUUUCAAUUGUGACAUUUGUAAUAAGCCAUUCAAACGGAAAGAGCAUCUCUUUCAACAUCGGAAAUUGCACACUGGUGAGCGACCAUACGUGUGUACGACAUGUACAAAAGCAUUCAGUCGUAAAGAACACUUGGUCAGACAUUCGGUAUCUCAUACUGGACAGAAGAUGCACGAAUGUGAAAUGUGUGGUAAAAGUUUUUCACGUAAAGAUAAUCUACAUAAACAUCGAAAAACGCAUGGUGUAUCUGGUCCUUACAUUUGCGAGACUUGUGGCAAAUCAUUUGUCGUGAAACAUUAUUACGUGAUGCAUAUGACUACGCAUGCGGUAACUGUUGCAGAUGGCAUAAAUUGUCCAGAUCCAUUGCCAUAUAAAUGCGAUAUAUGUCAUAAAGCAUUUUCGGUAAAACAAUAUCUUACUACGCAUAGACUUAGACACAGAUCAAAAAAUAAUAACAACUCUGCGCAAAACAGUUUAAAUGGGCAUCAACAACAAUCGAACAUUGUAAAUAAUGUCAAUGUAGUGACAAAUAACGUUAGUAAUACUGGAAAUUUAAAUAAUGGGCAAUCUAGCAAUGAGUCAACUGUCGAAAUGCAAAGUGUUAUCGAACGAAACGAACAAGCUAAUGGAUCAUUUGCUAACAGUCAGUAUCAUACUAAUAUGCAAGAAUUUCAAUGAGAUAAGGGAAAGCGUGUCUAUUAUGUUCUCUUGCCGAAUGGUAAUAAUCAUAAGAUCGUGGUUGUAUAAGCAAGGGAAACUUUAUGACGCGCCAAAAUAUUUUCUUAUGGUUUUAUUCUUAAAUGAACGUGGUUUUUGUACUUUAAUACUAUAAAAAAAAUGAGAAUCAAAGUGAUUAUUUUGACAAAUUACAUAUUUUAAUGUAUACGGACAGAAAGUAGAUCUGUUGAGUAUUUUAAGAAUUCGCUGGGCAUGACAAUGUAAAUAUUUUGCCAACAAAGCAUUAAUUAUAUGGAAUGUUGAAUUAAAAAAGGAUAAAGAGUAAGUUAAACUGAGAUUAAAGUUGAUUAAUCCUCCGUUGACACACUAUAUUGGAUUCGAUAUUUUGCCAUACAUAAGUGUACGUCACCAUUUUCAAUUGCGUAUGAUCUCUGUACGUAAUGCAUAGAAUUUGAACAAUUUUUUUUUAAUUGAUACGUCAGAAGGUCAAGAAGAAGACUAAAUAGGUGCGAAAAUUGAGAAGUUGAACAUAUUCAGAAGAGAAGAAACGAAUGAUUUAUGAGUGCCAAGUUAUUUUUGUAAACAGGGGGUAUGACACCCAGUGUAUCAGUUGAGGGUUAACAUUGGAAGAAAUGGACAUUAGAUGGAUCAUAACAAGGUGAAUUAGUUUUGCGAAUUUUUUUGGAAAAUUAAAGGAGAUAAAAAAGUCUGUUUAUCCAUUGUAAAGAUCAUAUUUUUUUUCUAUUUGACAUUUAAAUGUUAUUAAAAAAUUGUAUAAAAUGAUGAGUGAUGACAAAAUUUUCUGAGUCUUUUUAAAAACGAUGUUUAUAGGAAUCACUGCUGUUCCCACAGAAUUCACAAAGUAAAAACUCAAAGCGCAUUAGAAGCAAAAUGGCACAAACUUUUUAAAGUUGAUACAAAAAUCUAAUGUAUUGUUUUUUACAGUUUCAAAAUUACGUUUGAACAAAAUGGCAGCUGGUCAGAAUCAAUAAUGGUUGUCAUUAUAAAUUUUUCUCGUUUUUUUUGGUCACGAUAAAAAAUCAAGCAUCGUAAAAAGAAAAUCUUUCGUUUUGCACAGUUUUCAGUUUUUAAUGUCUAGAAAAGUUUACAAAAUAGUAAGUAGAUCAAUUUAACUGUUUUCAAGAUAUAAUAAUUACGUUUUUCGAAAAUAUAAUUUGAAUAAUGACACCAUCUUAUAAAUUUUUAAUAAAAUUAAAAUGUUAAGUAGAGAAAUGCUUGAUCUUAACAAUGGAAUAAACACGACUAUCUCUGUUUUUCUAUAAAAAAAAUUAUGCAUAGUUAAGCCUCCUCUAGGUGUAAAUACCUUUUUUAAUACUUGUAUGCACAAUUUAUAUACGAGUAUAUCAUAUUUGAAUAUAGUACCAAAAUAAUGAAGAAUAAUUUUUUGCAAAAUUCAAUAUGUUCACAUUAUCAAUAUUAUUAUCAAAGUCAUAAAUUAGUUCGAACCUGAAUCUUACUAAUAUGACGAAAUUGCAUUUUUACUAAUUUACAAUGAAUUGAAAUAAAUUAAUCCUUUGAGGACAGGGGUUGUUAAAAAAGUCAAUUAUGGAAAAAUAGUAUUACAAGAAUUUUUGGGGUCGGUGAAUCCGAAUCUGACUUUAAAAUUACAAAAUUUAAAAUGACGGAUCCAAAUUGAAAAUUUUCUAUAAUUGUCUCAUUUUCAUAAAAUUUUAUGUAUACUGAAUCUUUUGAUCGCUAAUUCCAAAUCUGAUAUCAGAAUUUCGAAAUUAAAAAUGGCAGAUCCAAUAUAGUGAAUGGAAUGAAAGAAGCAGAAAACAGCAACUAUGAUAGUGAUUAUCAUCUUUUAUUUUGACAAUUAUAGAAUCAAAUUUUAUGAAAAUUAACGUUUUGAUCAGCUUUGAUGAUAGUUGAAUGAAAAUAAAAACUGAGGAACUCGAAGAAUAAAAAAGAACUCGAUUAUAAAAGUCUGGAAAUUUCAUAAAUUUUGAGUGAUAUUCUUACAUCUUUCUAUAUUUGUUAUAUUGGAUCCAUCAUUUUGCCUUGUAUAUUUUUGAUUUUAGAUUUAAUGACAGUAUCAUUUAUAAUUAUCUUACGGUAAAGUACGCAAAUAUCGUCUUCUGAUUUUGACGAGCCAUUAAUAUAUGUUGUAGUACAGAUUAAAAUAACAGACACAGAUUUUGUUAUACAUGUCCGUUUUCACUUUUAGAAGUAGAAACACCUUUUUGAAGAAAAUUGGUAUUUUUCUUUCGAAGUGAAUAUCGUUGAAACUAUAAAAGAUGAGAGAAAACAAUGUUCUGAACAAAAGUUGAAUGGCUUGAACAGUACUCUAUAACAGUGAUUAAGAAUUCUUUAAAAAAUUUUUUUAAUAAAAAAAAAUUAAAAGCAAUUUUUUCAACUUGACGGUAUUUGCUUUGAAAGAAAAAUAGCAAUUUUCUUCAAAGGAGUGUUUUAUCUCCUAAAAGUGAGAACAGGUACGAAUAAAAUACGUGUGCCUUAUUUUGAUCCGUACUAGAACAUGUUAUUAAAAUGAGGCCGACAUUUCCGUACCUUUUCUUGUUAUUUAAAGUUCCUGAAAACUGAAUAAUUUUUUUUUUAUUAUUAUUUUAUCUUGGCAAUAUUAGAUUUGCCAUAUUCAAUUUGCUAUUUAUGACCUCAAAAUUAGAAAGAAUAUCCAAAAUUCUUGUACAAGUUCAAUGAAAAUUGAGUAAUAUUAGCAUUUUUGGCUCAUUUUGAUGUCAGCCAUAUUGGAUCCGACAUUUUGAAUUAAAAAAUGUUAACUUUAAAAUCAAAAAGAGCAUUAUCAACAAUCUUCAAAUAUCAAAUUUCGUGAAAAUCGAGUUAGUAGUUUCUGAAAUUAACUAUAGUUGUUCCUAGUUUGCAAAGGAUUAAGAGGGUAUUCUCGUUUUUGGUUUCCUUUUCAGGAAUUUUUUUUGUAGAAAAAAUAUAGAAAUUAUAAAGAAGGUUGUCACAAACCUUGCAAAAAAUACGAGAAAAGUCAUGAAAAUUUAAACUCGCGUAAAGAGAGACGGUUCACUCGCUGCGCGUGGACUUGGCGUCGAGGCGUGACCGCGCUUGAUCAGUCAGGAAAAUCGGAGAAAAAUCAGGGAAAAAUAUAAAAUGCCUGGAAUUUAAGCUUUGCUCAAUUUCCUUAAAUACUCUUAUUUUAAAUAGUUUUUGCAAGUUUUUUAAAUGUUAUAUUUAACAUUUUUUUGUAGCCAAAUGUAUUUAAAAUUUGCGUACUUUACAAAUAAUUUCUUACAUCUGAGAGCCGUAACAUAUAGAAAAAUUUAAAUUUAAGAAAUGUGAUCAAUUACAAUCAAUUAUUUUUUGAUCCGAAGAAGAGUCACGUGUCUUCCAUCGUAAAAAUCAUAUUUAUUUUCGAUAUUUUCGAAAUUUUAUUAAAAAAAAAUUGCAUCGCUAUUUAAAUAUUUUUACAACGCUUCACCGUUUUAACAAUUGUUCGAUUGAUCGACUUACAGUUUUAUAUAUUUUUUUAGUUACUAAAAACUAGUGCUUGACGCAGGAUUGUUUACAAUUUUCUUAGUUUUUGUCGCAGCUAAAGCUAUAAAAUUUGUAGUAAAAAAUCGUUAUGUUGAUUUUGAAUGUCAUUUUGUUUUAACGCAUUGCUUUGAAAAACAGCUAUGUAGAAUAAUAUCAGAUUUAAUUUUAUAAAGCUUGUGUCUUUUUGUUAAAUCCUGUGAUCAUCGUAAAUGAUGUUUUUAAAAAACAUGAUUUAGGAAACUUGAAUAGUGAUUCUUUUUUAUUUUAUUUUUUAAUUAAAUUUAAAUAUUAAAUAGGAAAAAGUAUAAUUUUUACGAUGGAAUAAACAUUUUUUUUAGCUCUUUCCAUAAAGAACUCACAAAGUUAAACCUCGUUUUGACAUUCGCUUAGUUGUAUAUUCCUUUAAGAUUACAUAUUGGAAAAUUCUCUGCUGUUGCCUGGAAAACAUGGAGAAAUUAGGGAAUUUCAAAAUUUAUUUUCUAUGGCAACUCUAAAUUUGAAACUACAUUUAUUUGAAUAUUCUUUAUUAUCUUUUUCAAAUAAAAAAAAUAAUUUUGACAAUUAUUUAAAUCUGUAUAAGUGUGUCAAAAAAACCGUCUUUUAAUAGAUGCAGAACUAAUCUGAAAUAAAAAAAAUCAAAAAAUUUUUAAUCUGUAUAAAUAUAAAUUUUUGUCUAAGUCACAACAAAGGAAGAUCCAGAUAUGUAAUUCACAGAUUUUGGAAAGUUUGAUGUUAAGAGGGAUUUGAUAUCAUAAAAAUAAUAUGUAUAGUAACAUUUAAGUGUCAAUAGUUUGAUUUACAAGAUUUUUAAAAUUUGGAAUGACUGCACAUGUGACAAAUAUCAUAACAAAUAAAUAAAUCAUAGCGAAGCUUCACAAAAUCGGUCUAGCCUCAGUGUUAACUCUAAAACUCACAGUUUUUAUUAAAUAGUACAUAUUUAAGAAAUAAUUAGGAGUAAGUCUAUACUGGCAUAGUUCUCUUAAACAUCCAUAUUUCUCGGAAACUAAACAUUGCACUGUAUUAAUAUUAAGCAAAAACGUGAUCUGCUUAGAUAAUUAAAAACCCACAGUUACAUACACUCCUAAUUUUUUUUUUAUAUAAAAUCUGUUAAAAACGAAUUCUUGAAAAGCAAAAAUAAAAUUUGCACUAUUCUCUCUUGCAAAUUGCAUAGUUUAAACAAUAGUGAAUAUGUUAUUGAUAAUUUUAGAUCAUGCUUGUAACUGUUUUGUUUGUACUUUUCUCUCUCUAAUUUUGCUCAUAAUGUGAUGUGGAACAUAAAAUUGCCGUGAAUAGCGUUAAGCGAUACGUUUCUGUGAGAACAGUCAACUAUGAAAUCUUCAACUACAAUAUUGACAGGUGUAUGACUUUUUUUACUACUUUAAGAUAGAAAAAAUAGCAUCGGAUGAUUCACGUAGCUACAGAUCCUUGUAU